rnacentral:rRNA from 1 species
UACGUAGGCAGCAAGCGUUGUUCGGAAUUACUGGGCGUAAAGAGUGUGUAGGCGGUGCUCUAAGUUCGGUGUGAAAUCUCCCGGCUCAACUGGGAGGGUGCGCCGAAAACUGGAGUGCUGGAGCGCGGGAGAGGAAAGCGGAAUUCCUGGUGUAGCGGUGGAAAUGCGUAGAUAUCAGGAGGAACACCGGCGGUGUAGACGGCUUUCUGGACCGUAGCUGACGCUGAGACACGAAAGCGUGGGUAGCAAACAGG